AUCAUGAUGAUGAAAAAAAUAUAACUUUCGUUCUUCUGAUAUUUUCUUGAGGAAUCCACAUGGAGACCUGAACUGAAGGC
rfam:Glycine max cultivar Williams 82 chromosome 4, whole genome shotgun sequence.